rnacentral:rRNA from 1 species
AGAUUGAACGCUGGCGGCAUGCCUAACACAUGCAAGUCGAACGGCAGCGCGGGUAGCAAUACCUGGCGGCGAGUGGCGGACGGGUGAGGAAUACAUCGGAAUCUACCCAGUCGUGGGGGAUAACGCAUCGAAAGGUGCGCUAAUACCGCAUACGACGGAGACGUGAAAGCGGAGGACCGUAAGGCUUCGCGCGAUUGGAUGAGCCGAUGUCGGAUUAGCUAGUUGGCGGGGUAAGAGCCCACCAAGGCGACGAUCCGUAGCUGGUCUGAGAGGAUGAUCAGCCACACUGGGACUGAGACACGGCCCAGACUCCUACGGGAGCAGCAGUGGGGAAUAUUGGACAAUGGGCGCAAGCCUGAUCCAGCAAUGCCGCGUGUGUGAAGAAGGCCUUCGGUUGUAAAGCAACUUUUAUCGGUAGCGAAAGCUGCGGUUAAUACCCUGUAGUCAUGACGUACCGAUGAAUAAGCACCGGCUAACUUCGU